GAAAUGCGAUAAGUAAUGUGAAUUGCAGAAUUCAGUGAAUCAUCGAAUCUUUGAACGCACCUUGCGCUCCUUGGUAUUCCGAGGAGCAUGCCUGUUUGAGUGUCAUGGAAUUCUCAACCCAUACAUCCUUGUGAUAUGUGGGCUUGGACUUGGAGGCUUGCUGGCUCUAGUUAGUCGGCUCCUCUUGAAUGCAUUAGCUUGAUUCCGUGCGGAUCGGCUCUCAGUGUGAUAAUUGUCUACGCUGUGACCGUGAAGCGUUUGGCAAGCUUCUAAUCGUCCCGUAUGGGACAAUUACUUGACAUCUGACCUCAAAUCAGGUAGGACUACCCGCUGAACUUAA
rnacentral:misc_RNA from 1 species